ACUUAAAUAGCUUAAAAAAAGAGCGUUACGUUGAAGCCGUAGAGGUGGUAGUAUUACCUUUGAGUG
rnacentral:tRNA from 1 species